rnacentral:misc_RNA from 1 species
UUGAAUACUAUUAUAUUUUAGUUUUCAACUUCUAAACCCCCCUUUGUUUAUCUAUACCAUGUUGCUUCCACUGGACAGGUUGAUUAUGUUUUGCAUAUUCUGCCCUGUAGCUUGUUGCUUUUUUGGGUACAAGUUGGAGAGUUGCCAGUGGAUGACCUAGAAACUCUUGAAUAAAAUACUGUCUUAAACUUUUUUUUUAUUGAAAAAUAAAAUA